GUAAUGACGUUCGACUAAAAUCGGCACGUCCUGUGCCAACGUCGAACUGACCUGCAUCCUGCAG
rnacentral:sRNA from 1 species